AAUACGUUCCCGGGCUUGUACACACCGCCCGUCACACCACGAAAGUCGGCAACACCCGAAGCCGGUGGCCUAACCGUAAGGAAGGAGCCGUCGAAGGUGGGGUCGGUGAUUGGGGUG
rnacentral:rRNA from 1 species